UACGUAGGGGGCGAGCGUUGUCCGGAUUUAUUGGGCGUAAAGAGCUCGUAGGUGGUUUGGUUAGUCGGAUGUGAAAUCUCCAGGCUCAACUUGGAGGGGUCAUCCGAUACUGCCAUGACUAGAGUUCGGUAGAGGAGUGUGGAAUUCCUGGUGGAGCGGUGAAAUGCGCAGAUAUCGGGAGGAACACCAGUAGCGAAGGCGGCUCGCUGGGCCAUUCCUGACGCUGAGACGCGAAAGCUAGGGGAGCGAACAGG
rnacentral:rRNA from 1 species